AUGGACUGGACCUGGAAAAUUCUCUUCCUGGUGGCAGUGGCUGCAGGUGUGAACUCCCAGGUGCAGCUGGUGCAGUCGGGGGCUGAGGUAGGAAAACCUGGGACACCAGUGAAGAUCUCCUGCAAGGCGUCCGGAUACACCUUCACCAGCUACUAUAUGCUCUGGGUGCAGCAGAGCCCUGAACAGGGGCUCGAGUGGAUGGGAUGGAUAUACCCUGGUGAUGGUCGUACAAGCUACGCACAGAAGUUCCAGGGCAAACUAACCUUCACUGCAGACAAGUCCAAGGACACAGCCUACAUGGAACUGAGCAGCCUAAGCAUUGACGACACGGCUGUUUAUUACUGUGUGAGACACACAGUGUGA